rnacentral:ribozyme from 13 species
AAAGGAAUUUUUAGCAAAGGAUAAUUUUGAAAAAGUUGAAAAAUUGUUUGAAAAAUUGUUAUUUUCUUCUUCUUCUUCUUCUCUUUAUUCUUCUCUUCUUUCAUAUGUUU